UGACCUCGAAUCAGGUAGGACUACCCGCUGAACUUAAGCAUAUCAAUAAGCGGAGGAAAAGAAACCAACAGGGAUUGCCCCAGUAACGGCGAGUGAAGCGGCAACAGCUCAAAUUUGAAAUCUGGCUCCUAGAGUCCGAAUUGUAAUUUGCAGAGGAUGCUUUUGAUGCGGUGCCUUCCGAGUUCCCUGGAACGGGACGCCAUAGAGGGUGAGAGCCCCGUCUGGUCGGAUGCCAAAUCUCUGUAAAGCUCCUUCGACGAGUCGAGUAGUUUGGGAAUGCUGCUCUAAAUGGGAGGUAUAUGUCUUCUAAAGCUAAAUAUUGGCCAGAGACCGAUAGCGCACAAGUAGAGUGAUCGAAAGAUGAAAAGCACUUUGAAAAGAGGGUUAAAAAGUACGUGAAAUUGUUGAAAGGGAAGCGCCUAUGACCAGACUUGGGCCCGGUGAAUCAUCCAGCGAUUUCGCUGGUGCACUUUGCCGGGCACAGGCCAGCAUCAGUUUGGCUCGGGGGAAAAAGGCUUUGGGAAUGUAGCUCCCCUCGGGGAGUGUUAUAGACCAUUGCAUAAUACCCUGGGCCGGACUGAGGUUCGCGCAUCUGCAAGGAUGCUGGCGUAAUGGUCAUCAGCGACCCGUCUUGAAACACGGACCAAGGAGUCGUCUUCGUAUGCGAGUGUUCGGGUGUAAAACCCCUACGCGUAAUGAAAGUGAACGCAGGUGAGAGCUUCGGCGCAUCAUCGACCGAUCCUGAUGUUCUCGGA
rnacentral:rRNA from 1 species